GACAGAGGGUGCAAACGUUGCUCGGAAUCAUUGGGCGUAAAGCGCGUGUAGGCGGUCCGGUAAGUCCGCUGUGAAAGUCGGGGGCUCAACCCUCGAAUGCCGGUGGAUACUGUCGGGCUAGAGUGCGGAAGAGGCGAGUGGAAUUCCUGGUGUAGCGGUGAAAUGCGCAGAUAUCAGGAGGAACACCAAUUGCGAAGGCAGCUCGCUGGGACGUUACUGACGCUGAGACGCGAAACCGUGGGGAGCGAACAGG
rnacentral:rRNA from 1 species